rfam:Oryza meridionalis cultivar OR44 (W2112) chromosome 9, whole genome shotgun sequence.
UGCAUGCAGAAGCUAGAGUUUUCGUGUCCAACUUUAAUCGUCCGUCUUAUUUAAAUUUUUUUAGAUUAAUAUUCUUAUUGUUAUUAGAUUAUAAAACAUGAAUAGUACUUUAUGUGUGAUUUAUGUUUUUUAGUUUUUUCAAAAAAAUUGCAAACAAGACGGACGGUUAAAGUUAGAUACGAAAACUUAUGACCACGUUUAUU